CAAAUUAUGAAUAGAGAAUUCUUUCUCCUAAAACCUGGCUAACAACUUUUUAUAUCCGUCCAAAAACUAUCUAUUAUUUCACCAAUACGAUAUUUCCUUGUACAUCAAAUAACAUACUCUAAUAAUGAAUUCUAAUUACUCGAUACAUUGUCAACGUCUUGAUUCUCGAUUGUCGAAUAUGAAAUAAAUUGACCCACUUCAAUGAUCCAUGAAAAUGAAAAGUCUUGAAUAAGAUCAUACAUUAAUCUUCAGUUAAUUGGAACGGCACAAUGUUGAUGAAUAUUAGACCAAGAUCAGGAAUAUCUCCAAGGGUGACAUAUUUGGAUAGUGGACGUGAAAUUCAAAGAUCUGAUGAAGUCAAUUCUUGAUUUUGUUUUGAAUCAUCUAUCUUUGACUUGCUUGAAGUUUCAGUACUUGAAACGAUAUUCUUUAAACUUACUGUUUAGCAUGUUUUUGUUCUUGAUUUUCUUGGAAUUGACUUAAAAAGAUGAUUGAAGAAUGAACAACUUUAUUUUUCUUAUCCUUGGGAAGAUCUCUGAGUAGAUUUCAUUGUAG
rnacentral:lncRNA from 1 species